UUCAAUAUCAAACUUAACAUUUGAUGUGCACUUUUCUCUUAGUAAGACGCCGUGAUCCAUUAGAAAUUGGUAAAUGUCAAUUUACAUGAGGUCAUCAAUGGGCUCGUAUGAAGUUUAUUGGAACAAAUGGCAUAAUCUUUCAACGGUUGUGUGUAUUGUCUGGUAAGCAUGCGAUGUCUCGUAAUGACUGUCUGAUGGAUUUUAAAGAUUAUAUUAUUGAUGUUACGGCAUCACUUGCUUUUGCAAGAUUUUGAUAUAUAUCCGAUCAACGGUGGUUAAAUUUGGGAUACCUUUUGGACCCGUCUUGAAACACGGACCAAGGAGUCUAUCUAAUGUGCGAGUAAAUGGGUAAUUAUGAAACCUAUUUGCGUAAUAAACGUAACUGAUUUUAUGGGAUUACAAGAAUUUUCGUUUACGCGUUAUUCUUUUCCAUCCCGGAGUACUUUUAUCAACAUAUACGCAAGUAUAUGGAAAGUAUAUCAUGAGCAUAUUGGAUACGACCCGAAAGAUGGUGAACUAUGCCUGAUCAGGUCGAAGUCAGGGGAAACCCUGAUGGAGGACCGAAGCAGUUCUGACGUGCAAAUCG
rnacentral:rRNA from 1 species